rnacentral:misc_RNA from 1 species
GGAUGAAGAACGUAGUGAAAUGCGAUACGUAAUGUGAAUUGCAGAAUUCAGUGAAUCAUCGAGUCUUUGAACGCACAUUGCGCCCCCUGGUAUUCCGGGGGGCAUGCCUGUCCGAGCGUCAUUGCUGCCCUCAAGCACGGCUUGUGUGUUGGGCCUCCGUCCUCCUCCCGGGGGACGGGCCCGAAAGGCAGCGGCGGCACCGCGUCCGGUCCUCGAGCGUAUGGGGCUUCGUCACCCGCUCUUGUAGGCCCGGCCGGCGCUUGCCGACACAUCAAUCUUUUUUCCAGGUUGACCUCGGAUCAGGUAGGGAUACCCGCUGAACUUAAGCAUAUCAAUAAGCGGAGGA